rnacentral:rRNA from 1 species
UGGGGAAUUUUGGACAAUGGGCGAAAGCCUGAUCCAGCAAUGCCGCGUGUGUGAAGAAGGCCUUCGGGUUGUAAAGCACUUUUGUCCGGAAAGAAAUCCUUGGCUCUAAUACAGUCGGGGGAUGACGGUACCGGAAGAAUAAGCACCGGCUAACUACGUGCCAGCAGCCGCGGUAAUACGUAGGGUGCAAGCGUUAAUCGGAAUUACUGGGCGUAAAGCGUGCGCAGGCGGUUUGCUAAGACCGAUGUGAAAUCCCCGGGCUCAACCUGGGAACUGCAUUGGUGACUGGCAGGCUAGAGUAUGGCAGAGGGGGGUAGAAUUCCACGUGUAGCAGUGAAAUGCGUAGAGAUGUGGAGGAAUACCGAUGGCGAAGGCAGCCCCCUGGGCCAAUACUGACGCUCAUGCACGAAAGCGUGGGGAGCAAACAGGAUUAGAUACCCUGGUAGUCCACGCCCUAAACGAUGUCAACUAGUUGUUGGGGAUUCAUUUCCUUAGUAACGUAGCUAACGCGUGAAGUUGACCGCCUGGGGAGUACGGCCGCAAGGUUAAAAACUUAAAGGAAUUGACGGGGUCAUAGCUG